CCCUUAGAUGUCCUGGGCCGCACGCGUGCUACACUGACGCCUACAGCGAGUACUUCCCAGCCCCGAGAGGUGGCUGGUAAUCAGCAAUAGGCGUCGUGAUGGGGAUAGAUCUUUGGAAUUAUGGAUCUUGAACGAGGAAUGCCUAGUAAGCGCAGGUCAUUAGCCUGCGUCGAUUAAGUCCCUGCCCUUUGUACACACCGCCCGUCGCUCCUACCGAUUUCGAGUGGUCCGGUGAAUCUUUCGGACUGCGCGCGGCUUCGUGCCGUGUCGCGGAAAGUCAGGUAAACCUUAUCACUUAGAGGAAGGAGAAGUCGUAACA
rnacentral:rRNA from 1 species